GAUCAAUCCGACCACAUAGAUGCAGCAUGUUAGAGAGCAUUGGGUCUGACCACAGUCCAGUGUCUGUUUAGCAUGUGGAAGGCACAGCGUGUUCAAUAGGCUACAGAACACAGACAGGGUAUGUCUCCUCAUUGCUCCAGACAGUCCUUGGAGAAGUACUGUGUGGUGACAAUGGGGCAAUGAAUGCCAAUUGAGAAAGGAUCAAAAGGGAGCUGUCUACCUGGUCCACCCACAUAGCAAUUCUGUCCUGCCCCAGAGUCUAGGACGUGCCAGAACAGUUUCUUCCUUGUAGCCCGUAGGAAGCUGACAAGAACAGAUAAUACAAGUGUCUCAAGUUCACAGGAAGUUUGCAGGACACUGGAGCUGUUUAGCGCAGUGGCGUCUCAGAAGCAAUAGAAACAAAGGCAAAAGGAAAUGCUUCAUCCACCUUCAUUAAGGAGUUUAUUGAGCUGCUCAUUUCAACAGCAGGAUAUAAAGAGAGAAAACAGCCCCUGGAAAUAAAUAUUAAAAGCUCAUCUCCGUAGACCUUAUAGAGAAAGCAAGCCGAGAGCUAACAACCUUUGAUACAGCUGGGGAGAUGACUCCUCAGUUGGAAACAUCCCAAAGAAAACCUUUCCAAGAAAGAAAGCUUUUUCUGAGAAAGAAAAGGAAUUUUUCUCAAAACCUAUUAAAAGACCCAGUGUGAAAUAAUAGAAAAAAUUAAAGGAUGCAUCAUAAAAUGAUACAGCCUGAGAAACCAGCAGGUUAUCACA